UACGUAGGGUGCGAGCGUUGUCCGGAAUUACUGGGCGUAAAGAGCUCGUAGGUGGUUUGUCGCGUUGUCCGUGAAAACUCACAGCUUAACUGUGGGCGUGCGGGCGAUACGGGCAGACUGGAGUACUGCAGGGGAGACUGGAAUUCCUGGUGUAGCGGUGGAAUGCGCAGAUAUCAGGAGGAACACCGGUGGCGAAGGCGGCCACCUGGACGGUAACUGACGCUGAGACGCGAAAGCGUGGGGAGCGAACAGG
rnacentral:rRNA from 1 species